CCGCACGAGCGCACCCUUAUCCUUAGUUGCCAGCACGUAAUGGUGGGAACUCUAAGGAGACUGCCGGUGACAAACCGGAGGAAGGUGGGGACGACGUCAAGUCAUCAUGGCCCUUACGAGAUGGGCUACACACGUGCUACAAUGGCAAGUACAAAGGGUUGCAAACUCGCGAGAGUAAGCGGAUCCCAUAAAGCUUGUCGUAGUCCGGAUUGGAGUCUGCAACUCGACUCCAUGAAGUCGGAAUCGCUAGUAAUCGUGGAUCAGAAUGCCACGGUGAAUACGUUCCCGGGCCUUGUACACACCGCCCGUCACACCAUGGGAGUGGGCUGCAAAAGAAGUGGAUAGCUUAACCUUCGGGAGGGCGUUCACCACUUUGUGGUUCAUGACUGGGGUGAAGUCGUAACAAGGUAGCCGUAGGGGAACCUGCGGCUGGAUCACCUCCUU
rnacentral:rRNA from 1 species